rnacentral:rRNA from 1 species
GGCGGUUGGUCGCGUCUGCUGUGAAAGGCUGGGGCUUAACCCUGGUUUUGCAGUGGGUACGGGCUAACUAGAGUGCAGUAGGGGAGACUGGAAUUCCUGGUGUAGCGGUGGAAUGCGCAGAUAUCAGGAGGAACACCGAUGGCGAAGGCAGGUCUCUGGGCAGUAACUGACGCUGAGGAGCGAAAGCAUGGGUAGCGAACAGGAUUAGAUACCCUGGUAGUCCAUGCCGUAAACGAUG